rnacentral:rRNA from 1 species
CAGUAGCCGCGGUAAUACGAAGGGGGCUAGCGUUGCUCGGAAUUACUGGGCGUAAAGGGAGCGUAGGCGGAUCGUUAAGUUGGGGGUGAAAGCCCGGGGCUCAACCUCGGAACUGCCUUCAAUACUGGCGAUCUUGAGUAUGAGAGAGGUGUGUGGAACUCCGAGUGUAGAGGUGAAAUUCGUAGAUAUUCGGAAGAACACCAGUGGCGAAGGCGACACACUGGCUCAUUACUGACGCUGAGGCUCGAAAGCGUGGGGAGCAAACAGGAUUAGAUACCCGGGUAGUCCCUGUCUCUUAUAC